UCGCUCGUCGCAACCGCCUGACCAUAACAGCAUAUAAAUAAGCCUGGAGGUUGAGAGUGGUGUGAUGCCGUUGUUCGUCUCUCCACCGCCUCAUCCUUUUCGCCUUGAAACCCUCUGGAUGAAUCAAGGAGAAGAAGGGAUCACGAUCAAGAAGCGGCGAUUCCGCUUGAUCUCUGCAUCCCGCCCCGACUCCGGUCUUCGGAAAGAACUCUGCGGGAGUUGAGAUUGAAGACGACCACCAACAGAUGGCAGAAGAGCCGGUGUCGAAGAAAGCGAAAAGGAACCGAUCGAAUUUCUUGGAGGCGGCGGUGUCAUCGGCGGAUGAAAUAGGUAACCGACCGGGCCAAUGGCUUGAAAGCCGACGAAAAUGGGAACACCAGGGAGUCGGAGAUCGACGAGAACUUGCAUGGCCCAGAUCCAGCAGUAUAUGGUAGGGAGAGGAACCAUCGCCCCCUUGCAUCCAACGAUUUCAUCUCUUGGGCUUCAGGGUCCAGGCGCGAAUAUAGAUGGGUAAGCUACAUGAUUCUCUGGUGCCAUUGUCGGUGAUGCUGGUGUUGCUCUUCAUCGUGCCACAAUGCUGCAACUGUGUGCCUAGAAGCUGCCUCCAGGAUCUUAUUUGAAUCCAGUUCAGUUGGAAAAGGUUAGUUCCUAUUUCCUUCUAUAAAUGCUCAAAUAUUAGCAUCCUGUUUUGUGCAUUUCAUUUGACUACUAUUGUAUGGGAAGUAAGGAUAUUUUCUAUGGAGUGUAUAAUUGUCCUUUGGGUCUUUUUGAUGCAUGAUAUAUGGCCAUUGUUUUUUUGGCUUGGUCAACUAAACCCAAUUUGUAUUUCCCAAAGCCAAACUGUAACAGACCAAGUUUCUUGGCCGUGGGUUUAUUUUGCCCAUGAUCUCCGUUGUGAGUUUGCCAAAUUUGCUAAAGUAACUCGAUGUCUAUUGAUUUUAUGCUGUCUUUGUUAGUUCAGAACUAUUUUGAUUGAUCUUGAUCUAUUUAUUUCUCUAU